rnacentral:lncRNA from 1 species
UGGUCGGUCCCCGUGAUCCCUGCUGCAGUGCUGACAGAUCUUACCACGUGCUGCCCCUAGAGCCUGAGGGGGAGCCUGGAUUGCCGGUUUGGGCCUCUUAUUUUAUUGGACAGGCGCAGUAGGUGCUGGUCUACAGGGUGGAGCUGAGGGUCUGUGACUCCCUGAUGACUGGGAAAGGGUGUUGAAACUCCUCUCCACAAUCUGCGCCUUUGCUAGAACAGUUGAAUAUGUCUUGAGCUCUAGCACCAAUAAGUGCCGCUUGAUCUUUGGGUGGAGGCCCCACUAGAACCUCUUGGUCUUUCUG